ensembl:lncRNA
GAAACUUUUAAAAACUAUUUUUAUGUGUCCAUUAAGAAAAUGGCUUAUUAAUUCACUUGCAUGCACACACGAGUGCUCGUGUGUUUGUGAAGGUCAGGGAACAGUUCAGGAGACUGUUUCUCUCCUACUGUGUGGGUACCAGGGAUGGAGCUGAGGUCAUUUCACGUGUUUAUUGUGUGUGAGUGUAAGUGUGGCAGUGAAGUUAUCUCAGAGAUAACCAGUGAGAGAGGGUUCUGUCUUCCUGCCACGUGCAUCCUGGUAGCCAUCUUUAUCCACGGAGUUACCUCACUGGUCCAUUGAAGAACUUCUUUCCUUCUUCUUUUUCGUUUCUCUCUCUCUCUCUCUCUCUCUCUCUCUCUCUCUCUCUCUCUCUGUCUGUCUGUCUCUCUCUCUUUCUUUUAAAUACGUGGUCUCAUAUAGUGCAAGACUAUCUAUCCUUAAACUCACUAUAUAGCCAAGGAUUGCCUUGAACUCUGCCCCCAAUUUCCAAGUGCUGGAAUUUUAAAGCGUUUGCCACCAUGCCCAACUUAUGAUUCUCAGACUGUUUAUUUCACUUUGCAAAAAUUUUACUGUAGGCAUGGAAUUCUUUUCAUUGAUUGUCUACUAUGUACCAGGCACCGAAUGGCAUUCUCUUCCUUAAGCACGAAUGUAGUAUGUAUGUAUGCAUGUAUUAUGUAUUGGGGAAGGGUGUUCUACAGUGAUCACAGGGAGAUCCAAGGGGAGGAGUUGCUUCUCUCCUUCCACCAGGUGGGUCCUGGGGAUUGAACUCAGGUCACCAGGCUGAGAGGCAAGCAGCUUUAUCUGAUGAGCUCACUGUGGGCAUUCUCAUCAAUUCCUCCUCAAGGGCCUCUUUGGAGAACUCUGUCACACUCCAUUAGCUGGCCUUUUCUUUGUCUCAUUUGAGCCUGCCCAAGGUUUGGGGUGUACGAUGAGGAACGCAGUCAGUGGGCGUCUCCACAUCGGGAGCUGGAGAAAUGUAAAAAGAUCGUCAACAAGUAACUGAACACACCGGCCAUUUCAAGUCGGCGAGCAAGGAAGACACAACAGAGACAGAGAAUAAAGGUUGAGGGAGGCACAGAACUCACACAAAGUGUGGGAAAGUGACGAGUCUGGGGCUGAAGAUCCGCCCUUACUCCAGGGAUGACAACAGUCAACAGAUGUGCAAAGGCCCAGAGACAGGAAGGAAAACAUGGAGAAAUAAGAUGAGGUUGGAGACGUGGGGACACAGUAGUGAAACCCUCGUGACAGGAGUCUUAUGAGCUUUAUAAAUGCCCAGGACACUGUAAAAGUUUAAAGAGGGGAGAGGUCUGAGGCAAGGUAUGUUUGUGCAUGAUUACCCUCGGGUUUUGAGUGAAGAGGAGCUGGCACAGGAACCAGAGUGGGCAAGGAAGAGUUUGUAUAAAGACUUAUGCUGGCUUCCAGAAAGCAUGGUGAUUGUGCCAAAGUUGACUGCAGUGGAGCAGAAAAAAAAAAAAAAAUAAGGAAAAUUCUAGCUACUGUGGAGGUGGCAUGGACUGGGUUGUUUGUUUUUUGUUUUGUUUUUUGAUGAUCUAGAAGGACAGGAGGACACAAAGCACAAAGAUAGGAACUGAUUCGGGGGUGGGGGUACGUAUGACAUGUUGUGAUGACGGUGUCGAUGAUGAUGUUAAGAACCUCGGAAUGGAGGAAGCCAUCCCACAAAGCUUCCAGUGUGUUUAAUAUGAUCCUCGAUAACAAUUAGGUGUGAUUUUUCACUCAUAUCCUCGUGUUAACUUUUAUUUAUCUUCAUUUUAUUAUUAGCAUACACAUGUGUGGUGUAUGUGUAUGUUUGUGUGAGUUUAUGUGUACCGUGUGUGCAGGAGCCAUGGAAGCCAGAAGGGUAUUGGAUCCCAUGGAAAUGAAGGUAUAGUGUUAGACCCCCGGAAAACUCAGGCCUCCAGGAUCUCAGCCCCGGACCUCGGUCACCCCAAUCAGCAGGCAGAUUCGAAAGCUUGAUGCAAAAAGCAUGAGGCUUUAUUGUUGUUUAACGAGCUAACCCCAUGUUAGCUCGGGUCUUUCACGUACCUGCCAUGGCGGAUGGCUAGCAAAGACAGCUCGAAGGGGCUGCACAGAGAUCUUGUUGGGCAGUGUAAGGGGAGUGUCUAGGGGUACGCACAGGCUCAGGAUUGGUGUGCCUCCAGGCUUGGAGGGCUUGCCCUGUGUUGAUUGGCCAAUUGGUUGUUAUGGCCCAUAGGCCCUCCCAGGGUGGUUUCUAUGCUCUGCACAUCAUUGCUGUGCACUUGUCUGUAAAGCACACCCAGAGCCGUAAAGCAUAGCACCACCAGCUAACUUCUGAUUGGUUCCUUGCCAGGAGGCAGGCAUCUGACUUCUAGUGACUAGGACAAGGUCAUGGCAAGCACGUGUUACUGUUAUGGCUGCAGAAAUGGGGAGCUGUCCCUUCAAUAGAAGGUUGUGAACUGCCACAUGGGUGCUAGGAACCCAACUAGGGUCCUCUGCCAGGACAGUCAGCACUAGUCAACACUAAGCCAUCUCUCCAGCCUCCAUGUUAACUUUUAUGAUGGGAGAGUGGCACUUAAUGUUAUGAAUACCAUUAUAAAUGAGAAUGAAUGCAAAUGAAGCCGGCACAAAGCCUGGGGACUUCCUCAAAGGUGCCCAUUAUGACUGGCGCAGUGGUCAGGGACUGUGAUUGGAGUACAGUGAGGCCUCUGAGAAACGUAUGUGACUGCAGCGUCUCUGAGCGCCAGUACCCACAUUGGCCACUAGGAGGAGCCCUAGAAGGCCAAAUCGCGGUGCUGAACCAAGUCAGGCAGAUUUGCAGAGCAGAUUCUGCAGCACCCUGCUGCAAUCGCUAGACAAGUUGGGCUAGAAGAGGGUGUCGGAACGCUGAGCUCUGUUAGGUGGCCACGCUUCUCUGCGCAGUUCCUUUGGCCCUUUUCCUCUGGCUCUCAGCCUCGCCAAGGACAUUGGCUGACCCAGGGGGGUGGGACCGUGGCUUUGCAGGGGAUUGCGAAAGCCGAGAUCCAAGGUGCAAAACUGCAGACUGGCAAGUGACUCAGCAGCCAGUAGCCCCCUGCCUGUCCUUCCUGAGCAGUGGUUCUCAAGCUUUCUAACCCUGCGACCCUUUAAUACAGUUCUUCAUGUUGUGGUGACUCGCCAAUGAUAAAAUUAUUUUCGUUGCUUUUUCAUAACUGUAAUUUUGCUGCUGUUAUGAAUCGAAAUGUAAAUAUCUGUGUUUUCCCAAGGUCUUAGGCGACCCCCGUGAAAGGGUUGUUCAGACCCAGAGGGGUCUCAACCCAAAGGUUGAGAAUAGCUGCUCAUGAGUAACAGCCUGGAUCACUGCUUUAAGCUUUUCCUAACUUCUCAGGUGUAAGAUUGUCUCCAGGCAGGAGAGGGCCACUGGCUUAGCUCCCCAUAUCCAGAGUCCCGGGUCACCUGGCCACCAGGCGCUGUCAUCUCGCUCAGCUUCCCUGUUCUCAGGCAGUAGCUCACUAUUUAAAAUUCACUUCCUUUAUGUUUACUUCCUUUACUGCCUGUUCCCACCCCACCUUCCCACCGAAAUGCAAGCAGGCCAGGCGGACAGCGGGGUUGCCGGACAAAGCCCCGGGUUCUCAGUUCUGUUUGGACUUGAGAUAACCCAUGCCCUUCCUUAAACUUUCAGUUAUAUUUUUUAUUUUUAUUUGUUGUGUGUGUGAGCGUGGGUAGAUGGUCACUGGGUGUCCUGCUCCUGGAAAGGUCAGAGGCAACCUGCAGGGAUGGUUUCUUACCUUCUAACAGUCAGGCUUGGGAGUCCAUGCCUUUACCUGCUGAGCCAUCUCAUAGGCUCCACCCCCCCUUUUUUUUUUUAAAAGUAUAAACAUUUCUAAUGCAUUGUUUAGGAUAUAAUUAUUCUACAAAGUAUAUGUUGCUUAUAUGAAGUUCCAAUGUCACUGGAUGUUUUUCUUUUCAUUGCUAAUUGCAAUCCUGUACUGGAAGGCUUUCGCCUGCUGUCUUCCUUGCUCCUCUCCAGCCUCCACAAUAAUGAUGCUGCUAAAGCUCAAUGCUCGGACAGACGAGCGAAUUCCUUCAAUUCUUCCCUCAUUUAUUCAGCCAAUCCAUUUAUUCUAAUCACCAUUGGGUCCCUGAGAAACAAUGGUAAGCAGACAGUCCAAAGCAGGAGGCAAUCGCCAUCUGAUUAGACUAUGGUAAAUACAACGUAAAACCUUGGGGACUGUGAAGGGACAUAGGAGGAAUCCCCAAGGCCACCCAGGUCAUCAGGACUUUUCUGGAGAAAGAUGACCAAGUUGAGACAUGGAGAGUGCAAAGGUGAAGAGAGGUGGGACCCCCACCCCCGUCACAAAGCAGGGCAGGGCCCUGGGGUUCUGCAGGUGGCUGCAGACAGAAUGUCACUGGGUGUCACUACUCACCAACAGACUCCCAAGUGAUGCCAGGGUGGCUUUACUAUACUCAUCUUACACAUGGGGAAACUGAGGCCUGGAAGGUGAGGGGCCUGGCCUUCCCAGGACAGACUGGGAAGUGAAAGUGUAACUUCAAGCUCAAGUCUAGCAGACUCAGAAGGGGGCCUGUACUCUUCUAGAAAAGCUACUGUGCUGGGGGCCAGAGCCCCAAAAGGAGGACAAGGAGCCUGGGACUCAGAGGGGAGCCCGACUCUGGACAAAUGUGCAGGCUCUCAGGUUAGCAGAAGAACAUGAAGAGACCGUGGGAGGUCUUAGCAGGUCCCCAAGGGCAGCCUCUGUGCCUCUCACUUCUAUCUAGGUUGGGACUUGAGGCCCCUCGUUGAGGCCUGAUUACUCCCAUGGGUCCUGGAAAGGUCUUCAGUCUCCAUGGUGACCACCUCCCACCCUCCCUGAAAUCUCAUUGUGACCAGUAUUAAGGGAUUAACUAGCCGGCAGCCCUCCCAGGGUCUUGGGUGCCAGAGUGGCAGCAGGAAGUUCAAGGAUGAGGAGGUUACCCACCGUGCGUGACCCCAUAGGACCAGGAGGAAGAUGUCGGACAGGGGCCAGGGCUUCCCCCAGGACCCACCAGGUAUGCUCCUGAGUUCGCAUCUGUCUGGAAGGAAGCCCAGAGUGGUGGGAGAUAGAUGAGGAACUCAGGGAGAAGUCCAGAAUUCGGGGUAUGUGGGAAACUUUAGCCCCAGCCCAGGAAGGUCAAGAGCCCUGAUAGGUGAAGGACUUUUGAUCAAAAUAGGGUCCAGAUCCCCUCAACAAGAGACUCUUUAAUCUUCAUUUUGCAGUUGGGGAAACUGAGGCAGAGAGAGAGGAAAUUGAGUUGCUUAAAGUCAGUAAACUGAAGCGGGUGAAAAAUUCAGAGGGGACCUCAAGGUAGCCUAACCAGAACAUUGGUAAAAAUAAACAAAACAAAACCCACUGUCACAUGGUCCUCUCUGUCCCCAGGAGCCUGCAGCAGCCUGUCUCACAGGCCCUGCUUUCUUCCCUUCUCAUUGCUUUCCCCUCCUGACGUCCCCAACUAUAUACCCAGUCACCCCAAGGCUGGCAGAGAGGUCUAGACCGGCUCCACAGUGCCAAGCCUUGUCUAUGCCACCCAGGGGACGGCUAGUCUCUGGGUCCCCAUUUUGAUGACUUGUUCACCCUUUAGCCUCUCUGGGGACUUUUGAUCCAAAACAAUGGAUGUCCUGGCAAUCCAGCAGCCAGGGAGGGAAUUUAAACCCCAGGGUCUCCCCAGGGACUUAGCUGGCAGAGUGCUUGUCUAGCAUGCAUGAAGCUCUGGGUUCCGCCCCCAGCACCGUAUGCAAGUGAGGGUGCACACCUGUUAUCAGGAGAUGUAGGCAGUUGGAUCAGAAGUUCAAGGCCAUUCUCCACUAGAUAGCAAGUGGUCUAAGCUACUGGUACGAAACCCUGUUGAAAAAUAAAAAUCUGAAACUUAGCUCCCCGGGAAACGGAGUACCCCUGGCUGAGCUCCUAAUGGUGUCAGGUAAACUACCGACCACCACAGGAAGUGAGAAAAGCAAUGGACAGAACAGAGCAGGAGGCUGGGUGAUAACACAGGGUAUGUGCAAGGCUCCAGGCAGACAAAAGGUAAGAAACAGCAGUGGAUGGUGCAGAGGCUGGGAGUCCAAGGGAAGCGAGGCUUCUCAACCGGUGCCGUUUAGUAUCUUGUAGCAAUGUAACAAUGUAACAAGGAUUAAAGACUAAAAACUUCAACAAAAGAGAUUAAAAUAGUAAGUAGUAAUGGUAACUACAUGUACCUCCGCAAGGACAGGUGUGCAGCCAAGAUUGUGAGGUAGGAAUUACCUCCAUGUCAUUCUGUCCCUGACCUGGAAGCCACUAUGAUGUUGCCAAUAAUAACAGCAAGAGCCACUCGUACCUGGAAUUGGAGCUGUCUACAAACUGGGGACGGGACCAGGUGUGGUGCAAACAUCACGCAUGAGUCAGCGUUCUGACUUGGUGAGGCAGUUAUCCCAGACCCACCUAACAGAUAGGGAAACUGAGCCUCACCACAGAUUUGACUCAUACGUUGUCAAACCUGGGCCUGCAUUAGGGUGCUUCCAGCUCUCCCUUGCCCCACAGAAGUUCUGAAUUAUGGCCAUCCACCAGAAUUUUCUUGGAAUUGCUGACACCUAGCACCAUGCAUCUGACUCCAAGAUUUUUGUUUUGAGAUAGAAUGUGUCUAUAUGGCUCAGGCUAGCCCUCCACUCACCAGGAUGUAGCUCAGGUUGGCAUGGAAUUCCUGGCGCUCUUGCUAUGAUUCCAUGUGUGUGCUACAUUGCCUGCCUGACUGUCCAACCCCAAGAUUUGUCUGUUGGUUUAUGACAGGACUUAGAAUCAUUGUUUUAUUCUUCUUAUUCUCCGGGUGGUGUUAGGGAUGGAACCCAAGGCCUAUGACAUGCUAGAUAAGCAUGCCACCACUAAGCACAAGCCCUUUAAGACCCAGGGUGUAAAAACCUUUUACAAUUUCAGGUGAGCCAGGUGGUGGUAUCUCCCCCUUUGAUACCAGUGCUUGGGAGGCAGAGGCAAGAGGCAAGCAGAUCUCUGUGAGUUCAAGGCCAGCCUGGUCUACAAAGUAAGUUCCAGGACAGCCAGAGCUGUUACACAGAGAAAUCCUGUCUCAAAUACAAAACAGUCUCAAGUGGUUCCGUUUCAUUAUCCAGACUGAAAUUCUGCUUGGUUUUCUAAAUGAGAAACCAAGACCAAAGAGAGAAAUGACCUUUCCCAGGACCACACAUGGCUGAAAACAAAGCUGGGACCAGGCAUUCAGUGGCUUUCAUGGAACCGUUGUUCAAAUAAGAAAUGGAAUCCCCUCCUGGGGCUUUGGAACCAGGGCUGGAUUUCCACCCCCUACCCCAUCCCCCACCUCAGUCCUCUUGACUGGAACAUUUUGUGCAAUAAGCAGCCUGUGCAACUGCACACAGUGAUCCUGGCCUAUCUCAGAACUCCCAAAUACUGACUUUACCCUGAUGACCUCAGACAAAUCCCCUGGACCCCUCCAAACAGGAGUCAGGGGUGAUUAAGGGUGACUUCUAAGUGGCAGACUCAUUCCUCAUCCCCAAGACCAGGACUUAUACUCAGGGGCUCCCCGUGACCCCUGAAGUCCCACAAAGGUCAAGGUCACCUCACAGAACACAAACAGGACAGUAACACCCUCAGCCCAGAUGUCAUAAGCCACCUGGCAGUAGGCAAACAGCCCACAGGAAGCACCGCCCACGGGGCCCAAUCCUGGCCUCUUUCCUGACCAUUCCCCAGACUAUCCACUUACCCAGACCUCCUUAACCUUCCCCAUGGCAUCUCCCACAACAAUACACUGCUUUCUGCCCAAGCAGCUUCCAUGUCCUUAUCCUGCCAGCCUUCCCUGGGUACUUACUACAUCCGGGAAAGUCUCAGAAGGCUGGGGUAGUCUCGGGAUUGGGAAUACAGGUUCUGGAGUCAGCUUGGAUUUCAGUCCUGCAUCUCAUUUCCUAUCAACUGUGUGAGCUUGGGUACACCAGCGCCAGUGGAAACUUCUCUGGGCCAGCGGUCUCACACCAGCAUCAGAGCAAUGUGAGGAGUCAUGAACAAAGCCCUGGACCCACCCUGACACAAACGUCCACACAUUGGCUCUGUGCAUCUUUGGCACUAUUCAACCUCAUGGGAAAAUUAGAACUUAGGCAUUUUCUCAAUUCACAAGGAAAGAAACUGAAGCUGAAGGGUCUAGAAAGUCAGGGAAGGGCUCUGGGUUCUGAGUCUUUUCUCUAGGGCCUGAUGAUUCCAGGGACAAGACAUAGCUAAAGCUGGGAGGUGCCUCUACUUCAUGCAUCUGCUGCGGGGACUACUCACAGACCUGAAGGACACAGUGACAUCCCCUGACUUGGGCCUCUGGUGGCUCUCAGACAUCUGCCAGCAGAGGGAAAUCCCCCUUGCCCUUAAGGUCCUUCAACUCAUCACUCAGGCCCUAGACCAAGGCUACUUAGAGCAGCCUGUUCCUGGAAAGAAUGCAUCCUUCUUUUUCUCCAUGUCCCCAUCUGCUGGGUCUGGGACAGAGCUUUCUUGGCAUAAAAAACCAACUAUUAAGAGCUCCUCUAAGGCUGGGGGGUUGUGCAUGCCUUUAGUCCCAGAAUUUGGGAGGCAGAGGCAGGCAGAACUCUGAGUUUAAAGCCAGCCUGGCCUACAGAGUGAGUUCUAAGACAGCCAGGGCUACACAGAGAAACUCUGUCUCAAAAAAAAAAAAAAAAAAAAAACUCUUUUAAGAAGGCAUCAUUGGCCCCCUCAGUGAGCUCUCAGGAGCCCCAGAACCCAGCUUGCAAAGCCUCCCUUUGCAUGUCCCCUAAGAUUCCCUGACUGAGACAUUAGAACCAAAACCUGCUGCUUCACAUCCCACGUUGGGAAGCUUCCUGGCUGCCUUUAUCUCCCUGUGGUAACAGAGCAAAUAUGCUCAGGCCCGGGAGCAGGGGCACAUGCAGGCUGUUGACUCUUGAGCAAAGCCUCCCCUCCGGAGGGCGCAGUGGAGGCUGUUGGAGGUUUGUGGAGAGGCCAGUGGCCUCUUGCAUAACCUAGGAGGGCUCCUGCCCACCCCGCGGCCUUUUCAGGGUUAGGGAUGAGGCAAACCGCAAACUCAUGCCCAGUUAAUUUUUUAAAGCAAGACCAACAGGCUCAGCAAUGAUUAGCAGACAGAGCCUGCUACUCCUCCAGCUGAGGCUUGGCAGCUCAACAAGAAAGGACCGAGAUCUCUGUCUAUACACGAUGUGUCCUGGCCAACCCUCGUUGAUCAUAGACUGAGUUGAAUGGAACCUAC